CCUACGGGCGGCAGCAGUGGGGAAUAUUGCACAAUGGGGGAAACCCUGAUGCAGCGACGCCGCGUGAGUGAAGAAGUAUUUCGGUAUGUAAAGCUCUAUCAGCAGGGAAGAUAAUGACGGUACCUGACUAAGAAGCCCCGGCUAACUACGUGCCAGCAGCCGCGGUAAUACGUAGGGGGCAAGCGUUAUCCGGAUUUACUGGGUGUAAAGGGUGCGUAGGUGGCAGGGCAAGUCAGAUGUGAAAUCCCCGCGCUCAACGUGGGAACUGCCUUUGAAACUGGCAAACUGGAGUGUGUGAGAGGAUAGUGGAAUUCCAGGUGUAGGAGUGAAAUCCGUAGAUAUCUGGAGGAACAUCAGUGGCGAAGGCGACUAUCUGGCACAUAACUGACGCUGAGGAGCGAAAGCGUGGGUAGCAAACAGGAUUAGAUACCCGGGUAGUC
rnacentral:rRNA from 1 species